CUACGCACUCCUACGGGAGGCAGCAGUGGGGAAUAUUGCACAAUGGGCGCAAGCCUGAUGCAGCCUAUGCCGCGUGUAUGAAGAAGGCCUUCGGGUUGUAAAGUACUUUCAGCAGUGAGGAAGGUGGAUAUGUUAAUAGCAUAUUCAUUUGACGUUAGCUGCAGAAGAAGCACCGGCUAACUCCGUGCCAGCAGCCGCGGUAAUACGGAGGGUGCGAGCGUUAAUCGGAAUUACUGGGCGUAAAGCGCAUGCAGGUGGUUUGUUAAGUCAGAUGUGAAAGCCCGGGGCUCAACCUCGGAAUUGCAUUUGAAACUGGCAAACUAGAGUACUGUAGAGGGGGUAGAAUUUCAGGUGUAGCGGUGAAAUGCGUAGAGAUCUGAAGGAAUACCGGUGGCGAAGGCGGCCCCCUGGACAGAUACUGACACUCAGAUGCGAAAGCGUGGGGAGCAAACAGGAUUAGAUACCCUGGUAG
rnacentral:rRNA from 1 species